rnacentral:rRNA from 1 species
AUUGAACGCUGGCGGCAGGCCUAACACAUGCAAGUCGAGCGCGAAAAGCCUUCGGGCUGAGUAAAGCGGCGGACGGGUGAGUAACGCGUAGGAAUCUACCUGGUGGUGGGGGACAACUUGGGGAAACUCAAGCUAAUACCGCAUACGCCCUAAGGGGGAAAGCGGGGGACCUUCGGGCCUCGCGCUAUCAGAUGAGCCUGCGUAGGAUUAGCUAGUUGGUGGGGUAAAGGCCCACCAAGGCGACGAUCCUUAGCUGGUCUGAGAGGAUGAUCAGCCACACUGGAACUGAGACACGGUCCAGACUCCUACGGGAGGCAGCAGUGGGGAAUAUUGCGCAAUGGGCGAAAGCCUGACGCAGCCAUGCCGCGUGUGUGAAGAAGGCCUUAGGGUUGUAAAGCACUUUCAAUUGGGAAGAAAAGCUUGUCGUUAAUAGCGGCAAGCCCUGACAUUACCUUUAGAAGAAGCACCGGCUAACUCCGUGCCAGCAGCCGCGGUAAUACGGAGGGUGCGAGCGUUAAUCGGAAUUACUGGGCGUAAAGCGCGCGUAGGCGGUUUGUUAAGUCAGCUGUGAAAGCCCCGGGCUCAACCUGGGAACUGCAGUUGAUACUGGCCGACUAGAGUACGAGAGAGGGAGGUAGAAUUCCAUGUGUAGCGGUGAAAUGCGUAGAUAUAUGGAGGAAUACCAGUGGCGAAGGCGGCCUCCUGGCUCGAUACUGACGCUGAGGUGCGAAAGCGUGGGGAUCAAACAGG